GCCCCCUUCGUCUAGCGGCCCAGGACCCCGCCCUUUCACGGCGGUAGCGCCGGUUCGAAUCCGGUAGGGGGUAC
rnacentral:tRNA from 2 species